rnacentral:rRNA from 1 species
GGACGAACGCUGGCGGCGUGCUUAACACAUGCAAGUCGAACGGAGAAUUUAUUUCGGUAAAUUCUUAGUGGCGAACGGGUGAGUAACGCGUGGGCAAUCUGCCCUUCAGAUGGGGACAACAUCCCGGAAACGGGUGCUAAUACCGCAUAGUUUUCUUGAUCGCAUGACUUGAGAAAGGAAAGACGGCCUUUGUGCUGUCGCUUAUGGAUGGACCCGCGGCGUAUUAGUUAG